rnacentral:piRNA from 1 species
UGAGAGAGCGUGUCUCAACCACACACAGGAA